rnacentral:lncRNA from 1 species
GACAUGUAACACAUAAAUAAUUCCGAAAAUUACAUAUGUCUACUGAAAUAACAAAAAAAAAAACAAAAAAAAAAAAAUCAAAAAAAUAUCUGUAGAUGGCGGAGAUUGAUCAGUUGACGGACGAGGAAGUAACCCGAUGAUAAAACUAUGAAUGAAACAAGAUAUCUUGUUUAGGAACAACCGAACAGAACAGAGAAGAAGCCUGAGCAAAGGGAUUAGGUUUUUUUUUUUCUUUCAGGAAGAAGAAGAGGC